rnacentral:rRNA from 1 species
UACGUAGGGGGCAAGCGGUUGUCCGGAAUCAUUGGGCGUUAAAGCGGCGUUGUGAGGCGGGCUCGGGUAAGUCUGCUCUGAAAGCCUGGGGCUCAACCCUGGGAGGCGGGGUGGACUACUGCUGAGCUCGAGUCCGGAAGAGGCGAGUGGAAUUCCUGGAUGUAGCGGUGAAUGACGCAGAUAUCAGGAGGAACACCAAUGGCGAAGGCAGCUCGCUGGGACGGUACUGACGCUGAGACGCGAAAGCGUGGGGAGCAAACAGG